CUGCCCAAUGAUAAAUUUAAAUGGCUGCAGUAUUUAUAACUGUACAAAGGUAGCAUAAUAAUUUGUUUUUUAAUUUAAAACUAGAAUGAAUGAUUUAAUGAAAUAUAAACUUUAUUAAAUAAAAUAAUUAAAUUUAUUAUUUAAGUAAAAAAACUUAAAUUUAAUUAAAAGACGAUAAGACCCUAUAGAAUUUAAUUAUAAAAAUUAUAUUAAAUUAAAAAUUAAAUAAUAAAUAAUUUUAAAUAAUUUAUUUGGGGUAAAUAUAAAAUUUAAAUAAUUUUUAAAUUAUUAAACAAAAAUUUUUGAAUAAAAAAUCUUAAAAUUUAAAUUUUUAAAAUUAAUUACCUUAGGGAUAACAGCAUAAUAAUUUUUAAAAGUUCAUAUUUAUAAAAAAGAUUAUGACCUCGAUGUUGAAUUAAGAUAAAAUUUUAAUGAAAUUUUUAAAAAAUUUAAGUCUGUUCGACU
rnacentral:rRNA from 1 species